rnacentral:rRNA from 1 species
UUUUGGACAAUGGGCGAAAGCCUGAUCCAGCAAUGCCGCGUGCAGGAAGAAGGCCUUCGGGUUGUAAACUGCUUUUGUACGGAACGAAACGGUCCUGGUUAAUACCUGGGGCUAAUGACGGUACCGUAAGAAUAAGCACCGGCUAACUACGUGCCAGCAGCCGCGGUAAUACGUAGGGUGCAAGCGUUAAUCGGAAUUACUGGGCGUAAAGCGUGCGCAGGCGGUUUUGUAAGACAGGCGUGAAAUCCCCGGGCUUAACCUGGGAAUGGCGCUUGUGACUGCAAAGCUGGAGUGCGGCAGAGGGGGAUGGAAUUCCGCGUGUAGCAGUGAAAUGCGUAGAUAUGCGGAGGAACACCGAUGGCGAAGGCAAUCCCCUGGGCCUGCACUGACGCUCAUGCACGAAG